rnacentral:tRNA from 1 species
GGAGGGGUGCCGGAGUGGUUGAACGGGGCGGUCUCGAAAACCGUUAACGGUCGUAAGGUCGUUCGAGGGUUCGAAUCCCUCCCCCUCCG